CGGGUGAGUAAUACUUGGGCAAUCUGCCCUUGAGUGGGGGACAACCUGCCGAAAGGCGGGCUAAUACCCCAUAAGACCACGGGAAUGCAUAUUCCAGAGGUCAAAGCUCCGCAAGGGGCGCUUGAGGAGGAGCCCGAGUCCUAUCAUGGUAGUUGGCGGGGUAAUGGCCCACCAAGCCGUUGACGGGUAGCCGACCUGAAAGGGUAACCGGCCACACUGGCACUGAGACACGGGCCAG
rnacentral:rRNA from 1 species